AACAGAGUACAAGUGGUCGUAAAUACCCUUGGCUCAUGCGCAGAUUAUUUGUUUACCAACUUAGAACACAGGAUGUCAGCGCCAUCUUGUGACGGCGAAUGUGGGGGCGGCUUCCCACACUCCAGAGUGCUUGUCAGAAG
rnacentral:antisense_RNA from 1 species